GUGGCGUAACCCCGCUCAUUUCUAGGGUUAGGGUUGCGUUCCUGUCCUCGCCUAAGGGUUAGGGUUUCUCCUUAGUCCCUUAGGGUUAGGGUUUCUCUCUCGCCGCGGAUAUGGCCAGGGCGAAGAUCACGAUGGCCAUCGAAGUCAUCCCCCCCGAAGGCCUUCGAAGCCCUUCAAUCCCUCGUCCUGUUGAGUCUCCAUUGCAGCUCUUUGAGAUCUUUGCUUACCCCGCCUCUUUCCCUGUACGCGAUCUUUGCUUUGAAGUGAUAAACAUGGAAGAUUGAUAUUUCCAUGUUUCUGGUUGACGUGUCAUCACUUUUUAUGUAUUAAUUUGUUUAUAGUUUAUUUUUAUUAUGAUCAUCUUUUCAAUGGUCUUUUUUUUUUUUGAAAAAAAAUCUCGUAUACUAAUUUCUCACUCUUUCCGUUGUCUGGUAUGCUUUAUGUUCUAACUCCACUUCGUAGUCUUUUCAUGCAUUUCCACGCAACCAGUAACGGUUAAAUUCUAUGCAUUAACAAAUAGGUAACUUGCUUAUUUAACAAUCGAUUUUUUGGUUCUUCAAAAAUUUUAAUACCUACAGAUCGCCUUGGAUCUGUAGGUUGGUACACUUGAGCAUUUUAAUAUGUUUUUUUUUUUUAAUUUUGCAACAAUUUUUAAUUUUUUGAUAACCCACUUUCUAAUAUUUUUUGUUAACAAUCUUGUAAAUCUUUUUAUUUUCUUUUUGUAAUCUGUUGCCUGUGAUGAUAGCUUAUUAUCAGUACACCAUCUUUCGGGACUGAUUGGUGUAUGUAACCAGGAUGAUAUUCUGCAAUUCUGAGGCAUAUAUGAUUUCCAUCUUUUAGUUUUAUGUUUUCCUUCUUUCUUGUCAAAAUCUCUUUCUUCUUCUUCUUAGUAUUAUUUUUGGCCAAGGAUUACCUGUACCUAUAUGCCAUCUUUCAGGACUGAUUGGUGUUUUGUCCAUGCUGGAGUUCUGCAUUUGAGAGGGAUAUGCGUUUUCUAUCAUAUAUUCUAUUUAUUGUAAAUUGUCCUAUUGAAACUUUAUGUUUUUAUCUUCUUGUAUUCAUUUAUUUUUAUUCUUUUCGCCUAUGAAGAUACUUGAUUCGAAAAUACCAUCUUUUGGGACUGAUUGGCAUUUGUGGCCAUGAUGUUAUUCUGCAAUUCAGAGGCAUAUGUUUUUUCUGUGCCUAGGCCAUUUAUUGCAUCCCAAGGAGUUACUUGUCAUUCAAGACUAAUUUUACCAAGAGCAAGCCUGCUCCAUUUAUCCUCGCUAUUUUUUUUUUUUGAGUCAUGAUGUUUGAGAUUAGAUUUGAAUAGAUUUAAACAUUUAGAUCCAACUAAGAAAUAGGUCAUACUAGUAGUUUUUUUAUUAUUAUUUUUCGGAGAUCAAUGGUGGAGGUGACAGUAUCUAUUCAAAUCUGUGAGCAUUCAGACUUAGAACAUCUCCCAAGGACAAGGGCAGGAGGGGUGCUAAUGAGUAUAGUAGCCAUAAUUACUCCAAUUUGAAUGGGCUAAAGAGUUCAAGCAUGUCGUUCCUCCAACCAUGUGCUCAAGACAACACUCGAUCAAUGAAAAUCCUAGUGUGAUGCAUUAGAUCAGAGAUGAUUAUGCUGAGAGCAGAUGUGACACAGUAACACAGCUCAGGUGAACCCUUAAUUGAUGCAAUGAGCUUCUUAACAUAACAAUUGCUGUAAGAAAGUGUAAGAAGAAAGUGUAAGCCAUUUACAACAGUUGAACACCCAGCUUUUCAGAUAUUUAUUAGGAAUUUUAGACCAUAAUUUCAUAUUGUUUUAAGAACAAUAUUGGCUUCUGAUUCCUUCAAAAGAAAAAACAAAGAUUUGAAGAUUUGUUGAAGACAAACUAUGAAAGAAUCAGUCUAACAUUGAACAUGUGAACAUCAAAUCAAACAUUGGGAUACAUGUGUUUCACUGCACAUUACAUCACUAAUGAUUGAAAACUUAAAAAGCAUAUUAACAAUUUUAAGUUGGUUCCUUCACCACAUAUGGGUUUAGUCAUUAGUGAUUGUAUAGCUAGCUAUAAUUUAUUUUGGAAAAUUGAGAGAAGGUUGGGUUCAAUCACCUUUGAUAAUUUGUCAGCAAAUACAGUUGUAGUAACAGAACUUCAAAAAUAAUUUAUAAAAGAUUUACUCUUAAAUGGUGAAUUCUUUAAUGUGCGUUGCUGCUGUGCAUAUAUUCUUAAUUUGAUUGUGAAGGAUGGGUUGAAGUAGUGGAGGGUGCUAUUCAUAGGAUCCGCGAGGCUGUUAAAUAUAUAAAAUUAUUUCAAGCAAGGUUGGAAUUAUUUAUGGAAAUUGUGAAACAAUUCAAGAUGAAGGGUAAGAAAAUAUUCGUUGGAAUUCUACGUAUCUCAUGUUAAAUGAUGCUAUACAAUUUAACGAUAUAUUUGUGCGACUUGUGGCCUAGGAUCCUAAUUUUGAAGAUACGCCAACUGAGAAAGAUUAGUCUCAAGGCAUCAUUAUUUUAACUUUUUAAAAGUUUUCCAUCUUAUAAUUGAAAUUUUUUCACAAACAAAAAAUCAAACUGCAAAUUUGUAUUUCUAUGAAAUUUGGAGAAUAUAUAUGUUCUUGAUUGAAGAAUCUAGGAGUUCAAAUGCAGUUGUGAUGAUGAUAGUCUUAAAGAUGCAAGAAAAAUUUGACAAGUAUUAGAAGGAAUGCUCUCAUUGCUAUAGGGGUUGUUUUGAUCCAAGACAUAAGAUGAAGCUUAUUAGGUAUUGCUUUUAGAAAAUCUAUGGUAAUGGUGAUCGUGCUUCAUUUGAGAUCAAAGUAUGUGAUGUUCUUCAAACUUUUUAUGAUAAUUAUACAAUUUUAUAUGAUGCAAAUGUCUCUCAUGUUCAAGUGGAGGAGAUGGUGUCUACAUCCCAAAGUAGAGAAGAUGAGAAUUGUUUUAUGCAUAACUGAAGAAUUUAUCCAAGAAGAAAAAAUUACCCAACCAUCCAAGUCAGAAUUAGAGACCUAUUUGGAAGAAAAGGUAUUUUAUGAUCUCUAAUAUGGAUGCGUACAUUAAAAUAUGAGUCAAUAAUACUAAUAAAAAUAACUUGCCAUGUAAUUUUUUUGAGCAGGUUUAUCCAUUAGAAGAUCAAAAUUUUGAUAUUCUACAGUAUUGGAGAUUCAAUGAAUCAAAAUAUCUAAUAUUGUCUAAGAUGGUACAUAAUAUCUUGAUAAUCAAAAAUUUCUACCUUUGCAUAUGAGUCUGCCUUCAGCACUGUUGGUAGGUUUUUGAUGAUUUUCAUAGUAGUCUAUCUCCGAAUACAAUUGAGGUAUUGAUAUGUACAUAAAAUUGGCUUCGAAACAUCUUGCCUUAUCUUAUAGGUUCAAUUUCUAGAACAUUCAUAAAUUUUAUCUUGUACUAGUGCUUUAAAACUUUGAGAUUUUUAAUUUUGUAUUUUUUUCAUUUGUAGAUGUUCCACCUCCUCAUACAAAAUACAAGGUUGAAAAUUAUGAAACUGCUGUUGUUAUUAAUAUUGAUGAUUAGCUUAUGCUGUUGUAUGGGUGCUUAUUAACUGAAGCCAUGGAGGAUAAAGAUGUAAAGUAUUGUUUCUGCCGAGCAGGUGAUCUUUUAGCUGUGGUCGAAUAGAUUUUUAACAAAUUUUGUAUAGGUAGUUCUACCUCGCAGCAGCAUUCAAGGCAUUUUUGUUCUUUGUAGGUCACUUUAUAUUGAGGAAAUUGUGGUUCAUUAUGCAUAUUCUUAAUUAUGUAAUUCUAAAACUCACUGAACAUGAUGAUGAGACUGUGAUGUAUAUGCCUACUUGUCUUGAUGUAAACAUGAUGCAUCAUGAUGCUGAAUUACAUGAAGGGUCACGAAGGAAUUACAUGGUA